rnacentral:rRNA from 1 species
GCUAGGGCUUGCCCUAGUGGAAAGUGGCAGACGGGUGAGUAACGCGUGGGAAUUUACCUAGAGGUACGGAAUAACGCAGGGAAACUUGUGCUAAUACCGUAUAUACCCUUCGGGGGAAAGAUUUAUCGCCUUUAGAUGAGCCCGCGUCGGAUUAGUUUGUUGGUGAGGUAAUGGCUCACCAAGACGUCGAUCCGUAGCUGGUCUGAGAGGAUGAUCAGCCACACUGGGACUGAGACACGGCCCAGACUCCUACGGGAGGCAGCAGUGGGGAAUAUUGCACAAUGGGCGCAAGCCUGAUGCAGCCAUGCCGCGUGAGUGAUGAAGGCCCUAGGGUUGUAAAGCUCUUUCACUGGUGAAGAUAAUGACGGUAGCCGGAGAAGAAGCCCCGGCUAACUCCGUGCCAGCAGCCGCGGUAAUACGGAGGGGGCUAGCGUUGUUCGGAAUUACUGGGCGUAAAGCGCGCGUAGGCGGGCUGGUCAGUUGGGGGUGAAAUCCCGAGGCUUAACCUCGGAACUGCCUCCAAAACUGCCAGUCUUGAGUUCGAGAGAGGUGAGUGGAAUUCCUAGUGUAGAGGUG